AGAGAGGACUCAUAAAUAAGCCGGCUGUAGAGGACUCUGGAGACAGUGUUAAGGAGGAGACACCAUAAGCCCUGUCCUCCUGUCCUUUCUUACCACACCAUGUGGAAGAGCAGACGGGCUCAGCUGUGUCUUUUUUCAGUUCUUCUUGCCUUCCUGCCUUCUGCUUCUUCACUCAAUGGAGACUCGAAGUAUAUGGUGCUGGUCCCUUCUCAGCUCUACACUGAGACCCCUGAGAAAAUCUGCCUCCAUUUAUACCAUCUGAAUGAGACAGUGACCGUUACAGCUUCCUUGGUAUCUCAAACGGGAAGGAGAAACCUGUUCGAUGAGCUUGUGGUUGACAAGGACUUGUUCCAAUGUGUUUCCUUCAUUAUCCCUACACUCAACUCUCCUGAUGAGGAGGAGUUUCUCUACGUGGACAUCAAAGGGCCAACCCACGAAUUCAGCAAAAGGAAUGCAGUGCUUGUGAAGAACAAAGAAAGUGUUGUCUUUGUCCAGACAGAUAAGCCCGUGUACAAGCCAGGACAAUCAGUUAAAUUUCGGGUUGUCUCUAUGGAUAAAACUCUACGCCCCCUGAAUGAGUUGCUUCCUCUGGCUUACAUUGAGGAUCCGAAAAAGAACCGAAUUAUGCAGUGGAGGGAUAUUAAGACUGAGAAUG
rnacentral:lncRNA from 1 species